rnacentral:RNase_P_RNA from 1 species
GACAGUCGCUGGCCAUUAUGGUUAGAGGAAAGUCCAUGCUCGCACGAUCUGCGAUGAUCGUAGUGUUUGUGCUGGAUGAAAAAAUAAAUCCAGGCAGUGUUAAACUGACGGCUGAAGGAUGCCUAAGGCUUCAUGCUAUGGCAUAACUUCUUUAAAAGUGCCACAGAGACGAGCUUUAAGAGAAAUCUUAAAGAUGGAACGGGUAAACCCCGCAAGCGAGAAACCCAAAUUUGGUAGGGGAAUCCUUCUUUGGUGAAAUGAAACCAUUGGGGAACAUGAGCAAUCAUGUAGAUAAAUGACUGUCACCUUGAAAAAGGCUACAGAACAUGGCUUAU